rnacentral:rRNA from 1 species
UCAUAAGGGNGGCGGCNGUNGGGNUUCUUCCGCNUUGGGCGNNGGCCUGNCGGAGCAACGCCGCGUGAGUGAUGAAGGUCUUCGGAUCGUAAAACUCUGUUAUCAGGGAAGAACAAACGUGUAAGUAACUGUGCACGUCUUGACGGUACCUGAUCAGAAAGCCACGGCUAACUACGUGCCAGCAGCCGCGGUAAUACGUAGGUGGCAAGCGUUAUCCGGAAUUAUUGCGCGUAAAGCGCGCGUAGGCGGUUUUUUAAGUCUGAUGUGAAAGCCCACGGCUCAACCGUGGAGGGUCAUUGGAAACCGGAAAACUUGAGUGCAAAAAAGGAAAAUGGAAUUCCCUGUGUAGCGGUGAAAUGCCCAAAAAAAUGGAGAAACACCAGUGGGGAAAGCGACUUUCUGGCCUGUAACUGACCCUGAUGUGCGAAACCGGGGGGAACAACAGGGAUAAAAACCCCGGAAGUCCCCCCGUAAAACCAAGAGGGCUAAAUGGAGGGG